UCUUCCUUGGUCUAGUGGUCAUGAUUUCCGCUUGUCAAAACCAAGCGUUUAAACAAGCGCGGGAGACCGGGGUUCGAUUCCCCGAGGGAGAG